GACGAACGCUGGCGGCGUGCUUAACACAUGCAAGUCGAACGAAGUGGCGAACGGGUGAGUAAUACGUGGGUAACCUGCCCUCCUUUUUUGGAUAAGCCUUGGAAACGGGGUCUAAUACCGACUAAAUGGGGAUGGUCUCGGGGCCUAUCAGCUUGUUGGUGGGGUGAUGGCCUACCACGGCGGUGACGGGUAGCCGGCCUGAGAGGGUGCCCGGCCACUUUUGGACUGUGGUACCGCCUAGACUCCUACGGGAGGCGUCAUUGGGCGAUAGUGCACAAUGGGUGCAAGCCUGAUGCAGCGACGCCGCGUGGGGGAUGAAGGCUUGUGGAUUGUAAACCUAUUUCGAUAUCGAAUAGGUAGGUGGAGAAGAAGCGCCGGCUGACUACGUGCCAGCAGCCGCGGUAAUUC
rnacentral:rRNA from 1 species